UAGGGAAUAUUGGACAAUGGGUGAGAGCCUGAUCCAGCCAUGCCGCGUGCAGGAAGAAGGCGUUAUGCGUUGUAAACUGCUUUUUGCCAGGGGAUAAAAUGAGCGUGCGCGCUUAAUUGAAGGUACCUGGUGAAUAAGCCACGGCUAACUACGUGCCAGCAGCCGCGGUAAUACGUAGGUGGCAAGCGUUGUCCGGAUUUAUUGGGUUUAAAGGGUGCGUAGGUGGCCCUGUAAGUCAGUGGUGAAAUAUCUCAGCUUAACUGAGAGGGUGCCAUUGAUACUGCAGGGCUUGAGUACAGAUGAGGUAGGCGGAAUUGACGGUGUAGCGGUGAAAUGCAUAGAUAUCGUCAAGAACACCGAUAGCGAAGGCAGCUUACCAAGCUGUAACUGACACUGAGGCACGAAAGUGUGGGGAUCAAACAGGAUUAGAUACCCCCGUAGUCCCUGAGCGGGCUGGCAAGGCGC
rnacentral:rRNA from 1 species